CACCUCACCAAAGAAAGAAAGAAUAAGGGAGGUUACAUUAUAUAUCUCCCUCCCCUUCCCUUCUUCCCCUUCCCUUCCCUUCCCUUCCCUUCCCUUCCCUUCUCUUCCCCUCUCAGAAAAACGUAAAAUCAAUUCUCACUCUCCUCUCCCUGAACAAAGAAAGAAAAAAUAAGGGAGGCUACAUUAUAUAUCUCCCUUCCCUUCCCUUCUUCCCCUUCCCCUCCCUUUUCUUUUCCUCUCUUCCCCUCUCAGAAAAACGUAAAAUCAAUUCUCACUCUCCUCUCCCUGAACAAAGAAAGAAAGAAUAAGGGAGGUUACAUUAUAUAUCUCCCUUCCCUUCCCUUCCCUUCCCUUCCAUUCCCUUCCCUUUUCUUCCCCUCUCAGAAAAACGUAAAAUCAAUUCUCACUCUCCUCUCCCUGAACAAAGAAAGAAAAAGGGAGGUUACAUUAUAUAUCUCCCUCCCCUUCCCUUCUCCCCCUUCCCUUCCCUUCCCUUCCCCUCUCUGAAAACAUAAAAUCAAGUCUGUAUGUACCAUAGAACAACGCGAAGCAAGAUAUUAUUACUACCAUGCCUGACACAAUUAUAUAUAUAUAGAGUAACAUUUCUAGUAUUUUGCUAAUGAUACCUUAGGGAUAAUUGGGCGACAGGUGUGAAGGUGGACUCUUGUUAAUUACCUGUGACUUGGCUUUAGUGAUAUUCCCACAGGUCACAGGUCAUACAGGUAACUUGAAGGUGGUUAUUGUCAAGCUCAUCAGGUGAUUAGACCAGGUAAUACAGGUACAGAAAGGUGAGAACAGGUUAAUUAGACUUCUUACCUGUUUAAUUAGGGAAAAUGUGUGUUUCUAAGGUUAUUUAUACAGGUAAUUAAGGUUAUUGCAAGCUCACCUGAUAAUUAUGCCUUGAUAUACAGGUACAGAAAGGUGAGAACAGGUUAAUUAGACUUCUUACCUGUUUAAUAAGGGAAAAAAAGGUGAUUCUGAGGUGAUUUAUACAGGUACAGGUUAAUUAAUGUCUCCUUCCUGCUAAUGAGAUCCCAAAAUACAGGUGAUACAUGUUAAUUAGGGGAUAUUUACCUGUAUAAUGAGAUCCCAAGAUACAGGUAAAUAUUCUAAGGUAAUUCAUACAGGUAAUAGAGAUUGAUUAACGUCUCCUACCUGUUUAAUGAGGCCCCAAAAUACAGGUAAUUCUAAGGUGAUUCAUACAGGUAAUAAGUUAAUUAAGAUACACCUGUUAAUUAGAGCUCCAGGUUACAGGUGUCUUACAAUAACUACCCGAGCUUACCUUGUUAUUCUGGUAUACAGGUGCAGUAAUUGUGAGGUUACCUGUGAUGGUAGGCAGGUAAGGACAGAGCUUUACCUGUAUGUUUCUGUACUGAUUUGUGCUAAUUGAAGUAGGUUACCUGUGUUAAUGAUCUAAGUCUCUCAUUAACAGGUAGAUAAGAACUAUUUACCCGUAUAAUUAUCCUAGUUUCUCAUUAACAGGUAGAGAUAAGCCUAAUUACCUGUAUAAUGAUCCUUGCACUUAUUAACAGGUGAGGCCAAUAAGCAUAAUUAUCUGCCAAUGAGUUACCUGCUAAUUGAGACAGGUAACAUAGCAGAAUUAAUUUACCUGGAUAAUCAGUUUACCUUUUUAGAGACAGAUAGGUGAUGUAUUAAUUAGUUAACCUGUGAAUUACCUGGUCGAAUUUUACCUGGUCAAUUUACCUUUUUGAGACAGGUGAGAAUAAUUGGUUUACCUGAGGGCUACCUGGUCCAGUUUACCUUUUGAGACAUACAGGUGAUAUGUCUUAAUUGGUUUACCUGGUCGAAGUUUACCUGUUCAGAUUACGAUUUCAGAAAGGUAAAAUGUUAAUUGAUUUACCUGUGAUUUACCUUGUCGAAUUUCAUAGUUACAGUUUACCUUUUCCGACACAAGUGACAUUUUAAUUAGUUUACCUGUGUUAAUAUGUCCAGUUUACCUGUCGCGAUACACAGAUGACAUAUUACACAGUUUACCUGCUAAUGACCUCACCCUAGUUUACACGUUCAUAAACACAAGUCCAGUUUACCUUUCUACACAGGUGACAUCAAUUAGUUCACCUGUCAGUCAUCUCAGUUCACCUUUUGAGAGACAAGUGACAUAUUGAGUGAGUGGUUACCUGGUCCAAGUUUCCAGGUUCAUGAAUUCACCUGUGAGUUACCUGGUCCAAGUCUACAGGUUAAUUAGCAAGAGUUCACCUGCAUAUACCCGUGUCCGUAGAGCCUGGAGUGAGUGCUUGUAGAAUGUAGAGUGCGUGAGUCGAGAUUACGUUGAGUUUACUUGUAGAUUAAAACGGAGUGUAAGGAGUGUAGUUGAUAAGGGAGAUUGUGUUUGUUUGUUUGUAUUGAAGUGAAGCAAUAACUCAAAGCAACGAUAGAGCAAUACUUAUAAUAUGCAUACAUACACACAUACAUAUAUAUUCAUACGAUGGACUGAAGCUUGUCAGAUCCAUCCAUGCAUACAUACAUACACACAUACAUACACAUCGAAGGAGCAAUAAUUUUAAGUCAUACCUACAUACAUACAUACAUACAUAUACACAUACAUACACACAUACAUAAGAAUAGGCAAUAAUUUAAAGAGAAAAGAAAGCAAUAAGCGAUUUCUUCCAAACACACACACACACACACACACACACACACACACACACACACACACACACACACACACACA